CGUUUCUAGGCCCAGUGAAUCAUAUAUUUGUGAGCGAAGUAAAUGUUCUACAGCUGUAUAUUUUAGAAAAAUAAAACAUUUAUAAUGUGAAGACGUUCAACAGUCCAAAUUACCUGACCUCUCGUGCACCAUUUUCCUCCUCCGAAGAUUCCAAGAUGGGUGGCGGAUAUGAAAACCGGCGCCUUUUUGGUUUGGAUACGUACUCCUGUCCCUGUUUUGAGGAACUCCUGAAACCCCAUCCCAAGGUAUGACAUCACCCAUCCCAUGUGCUUUGCAAGGGGGAAAUUUUGGUCAGGGAACAAAGGUUAAUUUGGGCAAACACGGAAUUGAAGCAAGGAAUACUGCCAUAGGAAACGUGAUGAAGACAGAGAAAAAAGAAAACAGUUGAGAAAA